GAAGGCAAGCGGAUCUCUUAAAGCCGUUCUCAGUUCGGACUGUAGGCUGCAACUCGCCUACACGAAGCUGGAAUCGCUAGUAAUCGCGGAUCAGCACGCCGCGGUGAAUACGUUCCCGGGCCUUGUACACACCGCCCGUCACACCAUGAGAGUCUGUAACACCCAAAGCCGGUGGGAUAACCUUUAUAGGAGUCAGCCGUCUAAGGUAGGACAGAUGAUUAGGGUGAAGUCGUAACAAGGUAGC
rnacentral:rRNA from 1 species